UACCAAAAUAAUAUGCGCUUUCGUUUCCUGUCUCUGAGUCGAUAGACGAUUGACAUACGAGAUCGAUUUUUCAGUGUUAUAUAUAUAUAUAUUUCUCCUUGUUUCUCAUAUAUGUGGAAUAAUUGUUUGUUGGUCUAGGGAUCAAUGGAAUUGUUUUUCUACAUUGUCUUCGGGGCGUUGGCUGCGGUGGUGACAGCAUUGGAGCUGAGUAAAUCUAACAAGGAUCGGAUUAGUACUUCUUCAUCUUUCAAUUCGUUCAAGAACAAUUACCUGCUUGUUUACUCGCUCAUGAUGGCUGGUGACUGGUUGCAAGGUCCGUAUGUCUAUUACCUUUACAGUACAUAUGGCUUUGGGAAAGGAGAAAUUGGACAGCUAUUUAUUGCUGGGUUUGGAUCUUCUAUGUUGUUUGGAACCAUUGUUGGAUCCCUAGCAGAUAAGCAGGGCCGGAAGAGAGCAUGCGUUACUUACUGCAUAACAUAUAUACUGAGCUGCUUUACCAAGCAUUCUCCUCAGUACAAAGUUCUGAUGAUUGGACGUGUUUUGGGUGGUAUUGCCACAUCCCUCUUGUUUUCUGCAUUUGAAUCAUGGCUUGUGGCGGAACAUUUUAAGAGGAGUUUUGAUCCUCAAUGGCUCUCGUUGACUUUCUCCAAGGCAAUAUUCCUCGGAAAUGGUCUUGUGGCUAUUCUAUCAGGAUUGUUUGGAAAUCUGUUGGUUGAUACCUUCAAUCUUGGGCCUGUUUCACCCUUCGAUGCUGCUUCCAUAUUUCUAGCUGUUGGGAUGGCCAUAAUAUUAUCAUCCUGGUCAGAAAACUAUGGAGAUCCUUCAGAGAACAAGGAUUUGCUCACUCAAUUCAAGGGUGCAGCUGUAGCUAUUGCUUCAGAUGAGAGGAUUGCAUUGCUUGGUGCCAUUCAAUCUCUCUUUGAAGGUUCAAUGUAUACAUUUGUCUUCCUCUGGACUCCUGCCCUGAGUCCAAAUGAUGAAGAGAUUCCUCAUGGAUUUAUUUUCGCAACUUUCAUGUUGGCCUCAAUGUUGGGAAGCUCAAUAGCUGCGCGUUUAUUGGCUCGCAACACACUUAGAGUGGAGAGCUACAUGCAAAUAGUAUUUGUUAUUUCUUCUGCAGCGCUUCUGCUUCCUAUCUUAACAAGUUUCUUGGUAGCUCCGUCCAAGGAGAAAGGAGGUGGCAUCUCAUAUUCAGGCUGUCUCCAACUUCUGGGCUUCUGCACAUUUGAAGCUUGUGUGGGAAUUUUCUGGCCAUCCAUAAUGAAGAUGAGAUCCCAAUACAUCCCUGAGGAGGCUCGAAGCACCAUCAUGAACUUCUUCCGUAUCCCCCUAAACAUCUUUGUUUGCAUCGUGCUUUACAACGUUAAUGCUUUCCCCAUUACCGUUAUGUUUGGUAUGUGUUCCAUCUUCCUCUUUGUGGCAUCCCUCCUCCAAAGAAGGUUAUCAGCAAUUGGAGAGAAGCCAAAGUCGGAAGAAGAAUGGACUAUGUUGAAGGAGAGAAACGUGGAGGUCGAAGCCUAGAUGUUACUACUACUACUACUACUCCAUAGAUUGGACUGGUUCAAGUGAAUGGAUGGGACUUCUCUCGGAAGGUGGUUGUUUGUUUCCAGAUAAGCUUUUUCAAUAACCAUAUAUAGUAGCAAAAAUUGCCAGCAAUAAAGGGGAGGGAUAGAAGUAAUUAAUGUUGGAAUUGAAGUAAGGAAGAAAGGAGAGACAAUGGCUGCUGCUGCUGCUGCUGCUAGCAAAAGCCAUCAUGGACAUUGAUCGAGGGCACGCAGCUGCAGAAUGGCUGCAAAGUGCGUGCAGGAGGAAGCCAAUGCAGUGGCUGCAAUAAAAAAAAGAUGCUGAAUUCGCAUUCGACAGAGGUGCAGGAGAAGGCAGAUUUGUCGAAUACAAAAACAAGUAUGGGAAAUCAGUCCAGAUGGUGCUGGUUGAUAUAACACAGAGAGGGAGCAGCCGGACGAAGCCUUGGGCUGCUCUGCUAAAAUACUGGCUCAGCUCAAUGUGUUGAAUCAACAAUCGACUUUCUUUGAUGGAAAUAGUUAGUUAGAUCAUGACUCUGAUAGCUAACUAAUGCAGUCGUAAAUUAAGGACUCUAUGUAUGUAUAACACUGCUAUAUAGGAUAGUGAGAUUCUUCGA